rnacentral:rRNA from 1 species
GGCGUGCCUAACACAUGCAAGUCGAACGAUGAACCACUUCGGUGGGGAUUAGUGGCGAACGGGUGAGUAACACGUGGGCAAUCUGCCCUUCACUCUGGGACAAGCCCUGGAAACGGGGUCUAAUACCGGAUACAACACUCUCGGGCAUCCGAUGAGUGUGGAAAGCUCCGGCGGUGAAGGAUGANCCCGCGGCCUAUCAGCUUGUUGGUGAGGUAACGGCUCACCAAGCCGACGACGGGUAGCCGGCCUGAGAGGGCGACCGGCCACNCUGGGACUGAGACACGGCCCAGACUCCUACGGGAGGCAGCAGUGGGGAAUAUUGCACAAUGGGCGAAAGCCUGA